rnacentral:lncRNA from 1 species
CGCAGAGAUAUUAUUUGAUUACAUUCCACUAGAAAGUGACAUGUGGUAACAUUCAUCUUGACAAAGGUAGCACUUCGCAAAUGGAAGAAGAUGCUCUCCCACCACAGAACAGAAGACUGGAGACAGGAGAAGAGGGUCUGCUGCAAGCCAACUUGUUCCAUUUCCUUUAUGUUGCACUCAAGAUUUAGAAGAAGACUCAACUUAUUAAGAGUGCUAUGAAACUGCAAAAUAAGAUCUGUGGUGUACAGGUUUCCAACGUGUGGUUACUUUGACUUUACUCUGAAAUAUCCCUUACAAGAAUUCCAUGGCAAUGUUACCUUGACGAAAACAAAUGUCCAAGAUCUUAAAUCACAUGGUAUGUACUGUAGCAGGCAGUGCUGGGCUAUGCUGAAGGACAAGAAAGACAUCUUUACAGAUACAGAUCUUUUUUAUGUUCCAGUGUUUAUUUCUCUAACCCCAUCUGGAAACAAAAGAAAAUAAACUCAGGCAACAACAUCUGUUGCUCCUGCUGCUCUGAAUUAAGCUAACUUAGUUUAAUCAUUUCACAAAAUCAAACACUAUUGCUCUACCUUUCCAGGUGUUUUCCUGACUCAUAGACUGACACUUCAGUUUGGCUCACUAGUUCUUCUCAUAAACUAUUCAAAUCUUAUUAAUUACCAUGAAAUCUAGACAACCUUUAAUUUCUCUUUUGGCAGAAAGAAGUAUACAGUCUACUGUGGAUGCUCUACUUAAAAUAAAAAAUAAAUAAAUAAAUAAAUAAAUAAAAAG